rnacentral:tRNA from 1 species
GGGCCCGUGGUCUAGCUGGCUAUGACGUCGCCUUGACGCGGCGAAGGUCCCCGGUUCGAAUCCGGGCGGGCCCA